rnacentral:rRNA from 1 species
CCCAAGAGUUCAUAUCGACGGCGGUGUUUGGCACCUCGAUGUCGGCUCAUCGCAUCCUGGGGCUGAAGGCGGUCCCAAGGGUUAGGCUGUUCGCCUAUUAAAGCGGUACGCGAGCUGGGUUCAGACCGGCGUGAGCCAGGUCGGUCCCUAUCUGCUGUGGGCGUUGCAAACUUGAGAGGAGUCAACUUUAGUACGAGAGGAUUAGGUUGGACUGACCCCUGGUGAUCCUGUUGGGCUGCUAAGCCCAUCGCAGGGUAGCUACGUCGGGCAGGGAUAACAGCUGAAAGCAUCUAAGCAGGAAGCCCCCCUCAAGAUCAGGUUUGCUUGUCUUGUACGUGAGACCCCUGGGAGACUACCAGGUUGAUAGGCCGCAGGUGUAAGGGUUGAGAAGCCCUCAGCUGAGCGGUACUAACGGUCGAAGGUU